GUACUCUCUUUGUCAGCACAUAUACAGAAAUGGAAGGUACAGAGACUGGCAUGAUCCCUGUGCAAUGAUGACAUGCAAAUUCAUGAUGCAUUCCAUAUUUUU